GACGAACGCUGGCGGCGUGCUUAACACAUGCAAGUCGAACGGAAAGGCCCUGCUUUUGUGGGGUGCUCGAGUGGCGAACGGGUGAGUAACACGUGAGUAACCUGCCCUUGACUUUGGGAUAACUUCAGGAAACUGGGGCUAAUACCGGAUAGGAGCUCCUGCUGCAUGGUGGGGGUUGGAAAGUUUCGGCGGUUGGGGAUGGACUCGCGGCUUAUCAGCUUGUUGGUGGGGUAGUGGCUUACCAAGGCUUUGACGGGUAGCCGGCAUGAGAGGGUGACCGGCCACAUGAGGACUGCGGUACGGACCAGACUCCUACGGGAGGCAGCAGUGGGGAAUAUUGCACAAUGGGAGGAAGCCGGAUGCAGCAACGCCGCGUGCGGGAUGACGGCCUUCGGGUUGUAAACCGCUUUCGCCUGUGACGAAGCGUGAGUGACGGUAAUGGGUAAAGAAGCACCGGCUAACUACGUG
rnacentral:rRNA from 1 species